UGUAGAGGAGCGGAGCGCCGCAGCCAGCCUAUCCCGGAGCCUCGGUCCUGGCCGGCGGGUAGAAGGGCGGCCGGCGAGGACUAGAGCCUGGCGGGGGAAGAAAGGCUGGCGGGAUACGAGAGGGCGUGAGAAGGGAAGCGAGGCCAGAAAAGAGAGCCAAAAGGGAGGGAAAGGCAGAGAAAGAGCCCGGGAAGAAGGAGGUGGCGGGCAGAGGAACCUAAGAAGAGCGAUGUGGCUCUCCUCGAGCAGAGUUUUAAGCUUGCUCUGAUGCAGAAAGUGGAGCCAAAAGAUGGAAUUGGGUACCCACUAGAAUUUAAGGAAAGAAGAUACUGGUAUCAAUACAGUGGGUCAGACACUCCUUUGGCCCCAGAACUCAGGCUUCUGGAUUGUUGGUCCUUCUGUGUCGGCUGAUUCUCUGUCCUGCCUACAGCCUCCCCAUUCUGAUGUUAACAGCAUUUGAGAUACUACAGAUAGCUCUAAGUCUAUUACUUCAAUCUAAUAAAGUUAUCUGAACCUCCCUGGG